rnacentral:misc_RNA from 1 species
UCACCGUUUACACGGGCAGUUUCUCUAGAGUGCCCGGCAUAACCCGCUGGUAACUAGGGACGAGGGUUGCGCUCGUUGCGGGACUUAACCCAACAUCUCACGACACGAGCUGACGACAGCCAUGCAGCACCUGUGCACGGACUCCGAAGAGGAACCGAUGUUUCCACCGGCUUUCCCGUGCAUGUCAAGCCCAGGUAAGGUUCUUCGCGUUGCUUCGAAUUGAACCACAUGCUCCACCGCUUGUGCGGGCCCCCGUCAAUUCCUUUGAGUUUCAGCCUUGCGGCCGUACUCCCCAGGCGGGAUGCUUAAUGCGUUAGCUUCGGCACGGAAGGGGUCGAUGUCCCCCCACACCUAGCAUCCAACGUUUACGGCUAGGACUAC